UACAGAGGGUGCGAGCGUUAAUCGGAAUUACUGGGCGUAAAGCGUGCGUAGACGGUGGCGUAAGUCGGAUGUGAAAGCCCCGGGCUCAACUCGGGAAGUGCAUUCGAAACUGGCAGGCUUGAAUAUGGAAGAGGGUCGCGGAAUUCCCGGUGUAGAGGUGAAAUUCGUAGAGACCCGGAGGAACACCAGUGGCGAAGGCGGCUUCCUGGUCUGCGACUGACGCUGUGGCGCGAAAGCUAGGGGAGCAAACGGG
rnacentral:rRNA from 1 species